CCCGCUCAGAAACUCAAAGGAAUUGACGUGGCCGCACAAGCGGUGGAGUAUGUGGUUUAAUUCGAUGCAACGCGAAGAACCUUACCUGGUCUUGACAUCCCGGAGACCCUUAGGAAACUAGGGGGUGCUUCCAUCUGGAAGAAUCUGGAGACAGGUGCUGCAUGGCUGUCGUCAGCUCGUGUCGUGAGAUGUUGGGUUAAGUCCCGCAACGAGCGCAACCCUUGCCUUUAGUUGCCAGCAGUUCGGCUGGGCACUCUAAAGGGACUGCCGGUGUUAAACCGGAGGAAGGUGGGGAUGACGUCAAGUCCUCAUGGCCUUUAUGACCAGGGCUACACACGUACUACAAUGGCCGAUACAAAGGGCAGCGACACUGCGAGGUGAAGCCAAUCCCGUAAAAUCGGUCUCAGUCCGGAUUGGAGUCUGCAACUCGACUCCAUGAAGUUGGAAUCGCUAGUAAUCGUGGAUCAGCAUGCCACGGUGAAUACGUUCCCGGGCCUU
rnacentral:rRNA from 1 species